GGUCGGUAAUGCAUGAUCAAUUUGUCCGUACCAUAUGAGACUCUGUCUCUGAAGAAUGCUCAAAUUCUUAAUUCUGAGGCCU
rfam:Vigna angularis cultivar Jingnong 6 chromosome 3, whole genome shotgun sequence.